CUGACUUGGACUGACUUGGACGGACUGUUGGCCGGACCAGCCACUGUGAAAAAUGUCGUCAGAGUUGGCAGAAAAUAUUGGAAGAGCUGUUUUGGACGCCAUUCGGAGUUUCCAAAAUGCACCUUUGGUGGCAGCGACGACCACACAACAACCACAUCGUUCGAGUUCUGCCAGUACCGCGCCUGGACCAGGACCAUCCCGCGUUUCCACCUUGACAGCACAACGCACGGGCACCAGUAACUCAACUCAAUUGACACCAGGAUCAAAUUUCCACACACUGAAUGAUCAUUCUGUUCCCCUUCCAUCAUUUCCUAGACAAGCUGCAUGCCCACGUUUUGUUAGAAAAAGCAAGGCCUGCAAACAUUACACCAAAGAUAUUGUGUGCUUGCCUUUUUCUCCUCAAUCAAUGUUCUGUAUACCAAGACGGGACUCCAGAACUAAAUUGGCACGAGAUGGCCUCA